rnacentral:snoRNA from 1 species
AAGACUAUAAUUUCAGGGAUCUUUGUUAUAGUUGGUUACUAGAGAAGUUUCUCUGACUGUGCAGAGCUCUGGAAACCACAGGGAGGAGGUGCAGCCUUCUCUCCUGAGCAGGAAGCCAGCUAGAUCUUGGUGGUGUUUGGCUACAACUGCCAUUUGCCAUUGCUGAUGGUUCUUUCUUUGGGAGAGUAAGAGGGAGAGGACCUGGUCUGAGUGGU